rnacentral:rRNA from 1 species
UACGUAGGGGUCGAGCGUUGUCCGGAGUUACUGGGCGUAAAGCGCGCGCAGGUGGCUCAUUACGCCCGGCGUGAAAGCCCCCGGCUCAACCGGGGAAGGUCGUCGGGUACGGGUGAGCUUGAGGGUAUCAGGGGCUGGUGGAAUUCCCGGUGUAGUGGUGAAAUGCGUAGAUAUUGGGAGGAACACCAGUGGCGAAGGCGGCUCUCUAGUACGGUACUGACGCUGAGACGCGAAAGCGUGGGGAGCGAACAGG